UACGUAGGGUGCAAGCGUUGCCCGGAUUUAUUGGGCGUAAAGGGCGCGUAGGCGGCUACGCACGUCCGUUGUGAAAUCGCUCGGCUCAACUGGGCGGGGUCGGCGGAUACGGCGUGGCUGGAGCAAGCUAGGGGGCAAUGGAAUUCCCGGUGUAGUGGUGGAAUGCGUAGAUAUCGGGAGGAACACCAGCGGCGAAGGCGGUUGCCUGGAGCUUUGCUGACGCUGAGGCGCGAAAGCGUGGGGAGCGAUCCGG
rnacentral:rRNA from 1 species